rnacentral:rRNA from 1 species
UACGUAGGUGGCAAGCGUUGUCCGGAUUUACUGGGCGUAAAGGGCAAGCAGGCGGACUGUUAAGUAGGAAGUGAAAGGUCGGAGCUCAACUCCAACAUUGCUUCCUAUACUGGCAGUCUUGAGUCUCGGAGAGGAAAGCGGAACGAUACGUGUAGCGGUGAAAUGCGUUGAUAUGUAUCGGAACACCAAUGGCGAAGGCAGCUUUCUGGACGAGAACUGACGCUCAUUUGCGAAAGCCGAGGUAGCGAACAGG